AGAAAACUAUAAAUUAUAAAAAUUUUCAAAAAUUAUAAAAACAAACGGGCAAUUUAUCAAUUAAAGCCUUUUUUUCAAAAAUUACCGAAAUAGGCCUAUUAUUUAAUUAUUUACUGGAAUGGUCCAUUUUUCGCGAAAUCGCGUCUACGUCAGCGCGAGUUGCUGACAUGGCAACAAAUCACGCCCUCAAGGACGCGAUUUGACCCGCGUGUAAACAGUGCUCCAACGGUAAAAAAUUUGACCGUUACCCCCCCAACGGUAAAA
rnacentral:lncRNA from 1 species